rnacentral:rRNA from 1 species
CUACGGGACGCUGCAGUGGGGAAUAUUGCACAAUGGGCGCAAGCCUGAUGCAGCAACGCCGCGUGAACGAUGAAGGCCUUCGGGUUGUAAAGUUCUUUUCUUAGGGAAGAAUAAAUGACGGUACCUAAGGAAUCAGCCCCGGCUAACUACGUGCCAGCAGCCGCGGUAAUACGUAGGGGGCAAGCGUUAUCCGGAAUCACUGGGCGUAAAGGGAGUGUAGGCGGUCAAGCAAGUCAGGGGUGAAAGGCAUCGGCUCAACCGAUGUAAGCCUUUGAAACUGUUUGACUUGAGUGCAGGAGAGGUAAGUGGAAUUCCUAGUGUAGCGGUGAAAUGCGUAGAUAUUAGGAGGAACACCAGUGGCGAAGGCGACUUACUGGACUGUAACUGACGCUGAGGCUCGAAAGCGUGGGGAGCGAACAGGAUUAGAUACCCUGGUAGUC